rnacentral:rRNA from 1 species
CCUACGGGAGGCAGCAGUGGGGAAUCUUGCACAAUGGGGGAAACCCUGAUGCAGCGACGCCGCGUGAGCGAUGAAGCCCUUCGGGGCGUAAAGCUCUUUCGACAGGAACGAUAAUGACGGUACCUGGAGAAGAAGCUGCGGCUAACUACGUGCCAGCAGCCGCGGUAAU